GAAUCCCAGCUACAAUCAUGUGAAGUUAAAUACAAGUGUUCCUGUUCGACUUACGUUUGUGAAAAAGGCUUUCUCGACUUCUUGUCCUCCAUCCUGGAUGAUUUGUGUCUUUACUGAAAGAUUUGAAACAUCAGACCACCCUGGAAUGGAUGUGCUCCACCCUCUCCCUGAUGAAAGGUCUUUGUGUUCAUCUCAAAAUGAACGAGCUCUUUCUUGACUUGCGCUCCUUUGACGACUUGACAGUCACUGCUGCCGUACGCGUACAGAUAGAAGGGCUUGUUCAACGGUAGUUCUUGUCUCUCCAAUGGAUGUACCUGAGAGAAAAUAUUUAAAAAGACAGGAUCACUUCAAUGUCCACUGAUUUGGAAUACCGCUGGACCGCGGGAGCAAGUACGGUAAGUACUGGGUUUCAAUCAGCUAAUAAAAGGCUUUGAAUCUCGUUAUCUGCUUCGACUGAAACGAUGGUCAAACACUGAUCACCAUGUGCUGAAAGAAUUAGCUCGCACGAGACAGGAAAUGGCGUCAUGUGAACUCAGUGAACAAGCACUAGUCCCUUUCACAACUCCCUGCGCCAUCUUGAAAGGUAGC